ACUAAAGUGAUAUGUUUAGCUCCCUGAUCUUUUCUUCAUGCCAUCCAUCUCACUAUGUCUUUGCCAUAGAGAGUCACUGUAAUGAGAAUUUUCUCUUACCUGCUGGAAGAAACUUUUAUUCUGGAAGAAGGGAAAAGGCUUUGUCCUGUCACAUGGCAGCCCCCAAAGGAAUAGGCUAAAGAAUGUCUUGGUUGGAUAUGGCCCUGAGGAAUCUGGUCUAGUGGAAGGCGUUCCUGGCUGUGGCAGGGGUCUGGAAUGAGAUGAUCUCUAUGGUCUCUAUGGCCCAAGACAUUGAAGGAUUCUUUUUUUCUGUGCUCUAUCAGACUGGGCAGAGUCAAGGGACAUCCAAAUCCUUCCUCCAUCCUUGCUUCCAGGACAGCACUGGACACUGAUGGGCAGGAGUGCCCAAAAGGAUGUCAGCCUUUCAGGAUUUUGGUUUUCUACUGAAAAGGAGCUGCUGUAUUCCCAUGGUUUCAGGAUCACCAGCCAUCACAGAUGACCCCAGCACCACUAGCGUUGGUCCUUCUUGGUCACAACUUCUGUCACUGUCACCAAGGCUCUGUCCAAGCAGUAGGGUUUUUUGCCCAGAUUAUAGAAAAAUCCUUGUUGGUUAUGGGACUCCCUACACCAGCAGAGGGUCAAGCCCAGGCUCCAGCUGACCUCACCAUGCCCAUCCAGGUCAUCCUUCAGCUCCCUUCCCUAUGGAUAUUUCCACCUUUGAGAAACUGCCAUUCUCUGACAAGCAGGAACUCAAAAGAGCUUUAAUGACAAAGGGAAAACCCCCCACUUUAAAUGCACCUUUUUAUUGUUGCUGUUUCCUUUAGUAUUUCCAUGUUCUUGAACUACCACCUGGUGCAGCCCAAAGAUGCUGUGUGACUGCCUAGAAUGUGCUUAGCUCUCUGGAAGCACUGCCAUUAACAACUAAUAAAUGUGAGAUAAACUCCAUAA